ensembl:lncRNA
GAGGAGCUUUGACAACAGCAAGGACAGGAGCGCUAUCUGGCAUAUUCCAUCAGAGAUUCUYGUUCAGCCUAAUUAACAUACCGAGGACAUCAGUGUGGGCCAUCAGUCCCGGAGGAAUUGUGUAAAACUUUUAAGGGGAAUAUGCACGAGAUCUCACCCCUGUAUUAGUUUAAAUAGAUCAAAUCAUGAAAAAGCGAUUUGUCUUGUAUAAGGUUAGAAGAAAGACUACUGCACAGUAGCAUCAGGGAAGAGAUUCAAAGGUUGCAUAGAAUUGUCAAAUCCAUUGUUGUAACCUAGUAAUCUUUCUUCUUUUACAGAGUUUCUUGAAUCCCACUGAGAAUGAACAGAGCUGAUCUGUAAGUCUGUGAUAUCUGCUGCCUCUCAACACAGAAGAGGGUAUCAUUGGGCCUUUCUUGUUCAAGACUGGCAUUUUCGCGGCUCAGCACCAAUGCAGUCUGACAGCAGCAGCAUACAGACGCACAUUCGUGGAGGACAGAUGGUCCUUGASUGUACAGGUGAGGUGCCAAAAUGAGCUUAAGGCUUGUCAUUAACUUCAGC